rnacentral:rRNA from 1 species
AGAGUUUGAUCAUGGCUCAGGACGAACGCUGGCGGCACGCUUAACACAUGCAAGUCGAGCGAGAACCAGUCCUUCGGGACUGGGGACAGCGGCGAACGGGUGAGUAACACGUGAGUAAUCCACCCUCGGCACCGGAAUAGCCCGGGGAAACUCGGAUUAAUGCCGGAUGGCCCAUUUGCUCUUCGGGGCGGAUGGAAAAGGUAGCUUAGGCCUCUGGCCGAGGACGAGCUCGCGGCGGAUUAGCUUGUUGGCGGGGUAAUGGCCCACCAAGGCGACGAUCCGUAGCUGGUCUGAGAGGACGAUCAGCCACACUGGGACUGAGACACGGCCCAGACUCCUACGGGAGGCAGCAGUGGGGAAUCUUGCGCAAUGGGCGAAAGCCUGACGCAGCGAUGCCGCGUGAGGGAAGAAGGCCUUCGGGUUGUAAACCUCUUUCAGGAGGGACGAAGCCACUCGGGUGAAUAGCCCAGAGGGUGACGGUACCUCCAGAAGAAGCCCCGGCUAACUACGUGCCAGCCGCCGCGGUAAU